UACAGAGACUGCAAGCGUUAUUCGGAUUCACUGGGCGUAAAGGGCGCGUAGGCGGCAAUUCAAGUCAGUUGUGAAAUCUCCGAGCUUAACUCGGAACGGUCAACUGAUACUGUCUUGCUAGAGUACAGAAGGGGCAAUCGGAAUUCUUGGUGUAGCGGUGAAAUGCGUAGAUAUCAAGAGGAACACCUGAGGUGAAGACGGGUUGCUGGGCUGAUACUGACGCUGAGGCGCGAAAGCUAGGGUAGCAAACGGG
rnacentral:rRNA from 1 species